UACGGGAGGCAGCAGUGGGGAAUAUUCCACAAUGGGCGAAAGCCUGAUGGAGCGACGCCGCGUGAGUGAAGAAGGGCUUCGGCUCGUAAAGCUCUUUUGUCCUAGACGAAUGACCUAUUGGAUAGGUAGAGACGGUAUAGGGCGAAUAAGCCACGGCUAACUACGUGCCAGCAGCCGCGGUAAU
rnacentral:rRNA from 1 species